GACGAACGCUGGCGGCGUGCUUAACACAUGCAAGUCGAACGGAAAGGCCCUGCUUUUGUGGGGUGCUCGAGUGGCGAACGGGUGAGUAACACGUGAGUAACCUGCCCUUGACUCUGGGAUAACUUCAGGAAACUGGGGCUAAUACCGGAUAGGAGCUCCUGCUGCAUGGUGGGGGCUGGAAAGUUUCGGCGGUUGGGGAUGGACUCGCGGCUUAUCAGCUUGUUGGUGGGGUAGUGGCUUACCAAGGCUUUGACGGGUAGCCGGCCUGAGAGGGUGACCGGCCACAUUGGGACUGAGAUGGGGCCCAGACUCCUACGGGAGACAGCAGUGGGAAAUAUUGCACAAUGGGCGGAAGCCUGAUGCAGCAACGCCGCGUGCGGGAUGACGGCCUUCGGGUUGUAAACCGCUUUAGCCUGUGACGAAGCGUGAGUGACGGUGAUGGGUAAAGAAGCACCGGCUAACUACGUG
rnacentral:rRNA from 1 species